rnacentral:rRNA from 1 species
GAUCCUGGCUCAGAAUCAACGCUGGCGGCGUGCCUAACACAUGCAAGUCGAACGCGAAGACCCCGCAAGGGGUUGUUAGCGUGGCAAACGGGUGAGUAACACGUGGGUGACCUGCCUUCGAGUGGGGGAUAACGUCCCGAAAGGGACGCUAAUACCGCAUAACAUCCUGCCUUUAGAUAGGUGGAGAGCAAAGCUGGGGAUCGCAAGACCCGGCGCUUGAAGAGGGGCCUGCGCCUGAUUAGCUAGUUGGUGGGGUAACGGCUCACCAAGGCAACGAUCAGUAUCCGGCCUGAGAGGGCGGACGGACACACUGGGACUGAGACACGGCCCAGACUCCUACGGGAGGCAGCAGUGGGGAAUUGUUCGCAAUGGGCGAAAGCCUGACGACGCAACGCCGCGUGGAGGAUGAAGAUCUUCGGGUCGUAAACUCCUGUCGAGCGGGAAGAACGUUUCGCGGAUGAAUAAGCCGCGGAAGUGACGGUACCGCUAAAGGAAGCCCCGGCUAACUCCGUGCCAGCAGCCGCGGUAAUACGGGGGGGGCAAGCGUUGUUCGGAAUUACUGGGCGUAAAGGGCUCGUAGGUGGCCAACUAAGUCAGACGUGAAAUCCCCAGGCUCAACCUGGGAACUGCGUCUGAUACUGGAUGGCUUGAAUUCGGGAGAGGGAUGCAGAAUUCCAGGUGUAGCGGUGA